rnacentral:rRNA from 1 species
AAAGCCUGAUCCAGCAAUGCCGCGUGAGUGAUGAAGGCCUUAGGGUUGUAAAGCUCUUUACCCGGGAUGAUAAUGACAGUACCGGGAGAAUAAGCUCCGGCUAACUCCGUGCCAGCAGCCGCGGUAAUACGGAGGGAGCUAGCGUUAUUCGGAAUUACUGGGCGUAAAGCGCACGUAGGCGGCUUUGUAAGUUAGAGGUGAAAGCCUGGAGCUCAACUCCAGAAUUGCCUUUAAGACUGCAUCGCUUGAAUCCAGGAGAGGUGAGUGGAAUUCCGAGUGUAGAGGUGAAAUUCGUAGAUAUUCGGAAGAACACCAGUGGCGAAGGCGGCUCACUGGACUGGUAUUGACGCCGAGGUGCGAAAGCGUGGGGAGCAAACAGGAUUAGAUACCCUGGUAGUCCACGCCGUAAACGAUGAUAACUAGCUGUCGGGGCUCUUAGAGCUUCGGUGGCGCAGCUAACGCAUUAAGUUAUCCGCCUGGGGAGUACGGCCGCAAGGUUA